rnacentral:rRNA from 1 species
CAGUAGCCGCGGGAAUACGGAGGAUCCGAGCGUUAUCCGGAAUUAUUGGGUUUAAAGGGUGCGUAGGCGGAUAGAUAAGUCAGUGGUGAAAGACGGUGGCUCAACCAUCGCAGUGCCGUUGAUACUGUUUAUCUUGAAUAUGGAUGAGGUAGGCGGAAUGUGGCAAGUAGCGGUGAAAUGCAUAGAUAUGCCACAGAACACCGAUUGCGAAGGCAGCUUACCAAGGCAAAAUUGACGCUGAGGCGCGAAAGCGUGGGGAUCGAACAGGAUUAGAUACCCGAGUAGUCCCUGUCUCUUAUAC